rnacentral:tRNA from 1 species
AGCCCCGAAGUAUUAUUUACGUUGGAUUGCAAAUCCAAAGAAGGAGGUUGAUACCCUCCCGGGGCUU